rnacentral:misc_RNA from 1 species
AAGUCGUAACAAGGUUUCCGUAGGUGAACCUGCGGAAGGAUCAUUAUCGUAUCUCUGGCGAGGGCGUGCCGGCUCCGGUGGACUUCCCGUCCCCGUCGCAGCGGGCGCGCCUGACCCUCAACCCCUUUGCGAACCCCCACUGUGCACCUUUGUCGGUGGAGGGCGCCCCCGGCGGCAGCCGAGCGCCCGAAGCCGGAUCACAAACUCUGCUCUGACGAACGCUCAGCGGACUCUGUGCCGCCUAAUAACUAGAACAACUUUCAACAACGGAUCUCUUGGCUCUC